rnacentral:lncRNA from 1 species
CUAAAAAUUCAAGCUCUAUGAGGACUAAGCCUGGAGGCUGAGCUGGUGACCAUCUUCAGAGGUCAUCUGGCCAAAGGAAAGUCAUAGAUGGAGGAGAAGCACGUGACAUGGAGAGAGAGAUGCUACCAAGUGGAGCACAGCUUCCUGGGAGCCUGGAGUGAGUGUUCUGCAACUCCCAGUGCAGCCCAGGAGUCUCAUGGGCCCCCACACACCCGAGCCCUAGCUUUGAAAAGCUUUUACCCAGGACCCUGCACUCUUCAAGUUCUUUUCCCAAGCUUAAGAAGGAGAAGAAUCACCCGGGGAGCCUGUUAAACACGAAGUUUCCGGUUUAGCUGUCCUGGGUUUCUGCAUUUUUUAACAAGCAUGAACCUCAGUUUGAGUAAAGACACCACGGAGGACUUGGUUAAUGAGUUCCGGCUGCUCAGCUUGAACCGCACGCGGUCUGAAGCCUUCGCAGUAAGGAACCUCAAUUACUGUCACUUCCCUGCGCUGAUGCACACUCAACAGGCUCGGCAGGCCCCGGGCUCUCCACUCCAGGGCUGAAUCAGCAGCUAAGCACUCCUAUUCUUUGGAAAUUCUCCACUCACUCGUGUGGAUUUCUGUUUCAACACUAAAGAACCAGCGUCCUCAACUUGGACUGGCAGGAGAUUCACAUCCUGGUGCUCACCUGCCAUCUGGUGGUGAGAAAUGAACACCAAGAUACAGGGAAAAUUUUUUUCUCCUUUCUUCUGCUUUUUCUCCAUGGUAAACAACUCAGAGUGUUUGGUCACUGUAAAAUGUAAAAGGUGCGUGUUUUUUUUUUUUUUUUUUUAAAGUAUAAAGAUGCUUGGUGCCUUACCUGGCAAGCGCCUUACUUGAAGAGUGGGUGUUUGAGGGAUUCAUCUCAGGGCAGGAGGUCCUGUUCUCCUCAGAGUAGCUCUGAUGUCAGCUUUUCUGGUACCAGGCUCCUGUCCCAACGCCAGAGGAGUUGGGGCAUCCUCGGGCUGGCACUGAAUUUAGGGAUGAGCCAAGGCAAGGUUGAAUAUAUCAGGUCCUGUACUCUGGAAAGUUGUGAUAGGAAAAAGACAUUCUAUCAACAUUACAUACUGAUAAAGAAUCAUUAAUCCAUGAGAAUUCUUAAUAGUGGGAUCCAGGGUUUGCUUUUUAUCUUACAAAAAAGCCUUGUGAAUCUACACUGACAAAACAUUGCACCCGUAUGGCAUUCAGGUUUCCCGACCUUCUGGGCACAACUGUGUUUGCACUCACUUCGGUUCACUUCAGUUCAGUCGCUCAGUUGUGUCCGACUCUUUGCGACCGCAUGAAUCGCAGCACGCCAGGCCUUCCUGUCCAUCACCAACUCCCGGAGUUCACCCAGACUCACGUCCAUCGUGUCAGUUAAACUGUGCAUUUUCUAGAUUGACUCUUGAGACUGGGGUUGGAAAAGAACGUGCCUGUAUGAAUGGCUGUGGGUGGAGGACAGUUCAACUUCUCCUGUUUUUGUCAACAGCGGGUGUAUACCAAACUCCCGUGACAGUCAUGAGAAAAUAAAAUCUAGAGUGGAAAGAACA